GUUAACAUCUUGUAACAAGCUUGAUGAUAUUACCAGACUUGUUGCAAGGUUGUUCCAACAAGUCCGAUACAGUCAUGAUAUAUAUAACAAUAUUGUUACAACCUUGUAUUGUCAACCUUGUAACAUUCUUGUUAUAUCAUGCCUGUAUCAGACUUGUUAGAACAACCUUAUAAUAAGUGUGAUAAUGCCAUCAAGCUUGUUACAAGUUGUUAAC